CAAAUUACUUUUUAAGUCUUAUCAGCUAUGAAUCAACAACGAACACUUGUUACAAUCACGCCACCUGGUGCUACUCUAUAUUUUAAUAUUAAAUGACGGAGUAUAAAAGGAGGAACUGGUAUUCCAUUAAAGCAUAACGCAAUUUUUGUGCAAAUUUAAUCUUCAUUUUCACUUUAUUCCACGAAAACAAAUCAAAAACCAAAAAUGGGCGCUGAAAAAGUAACCAUGAACAUCGUUGUCGUCGGACAAGUCCAAUCUGCCAAGGCCAUCAAAUCGGUCGCCAAAGCUACCCCAGCCACCAGCCAGUUGAUGAACUGUUAAUUCAUGAAGUCCACAUGAAUCUCAAACUCAAAACCUCCAUAACCCAAACAGUACAUAUUUUUUUAAUUUGUUGAUAAUUAUAAUAAUAUGUGUUGCCAUUGCAAAAUAAAUCAGUCCCUUCCGUCAAUUAAA